UCAUGCUCCGUGGUUCGGAGCCGGUUUUUCCCAGCUACCCUGAAGGCAUCUUCCCCGCACGCUGGCUUGAUUACUGAUGCGCUCCACCUGCGCUGAGCACUUUAUAUACCUGCCUGUUUCAUCUCUCAGUUGCCAGAUCGUCUUGGUUCUACCCUGUACGCUUCCAGCCCUUAUUUCUCAGCCUGUUUGCCCGUCUGUUGUUGACCCGUUUGCCUUGGAUUUGGAUUCUGCCUCAGCCUGCCCCUGUCUGGUACUCUGCCUGUCUCUGUUUGGAUCUCCUGGCUCUGGACCUCUGGAAUCGAUUAUUGGACUUGGAUUACGGAUUACGGACUACUCCCCCUAACCCCCACGAGGAUUCUCGUUUCCCACUCUGUCAGCCUGGCCGGCAGUUCAACCUAUCCAGAUACUAACCCCUCUUUUGCUCAGCAGCUUCUCCUACAGCACGCAGCAGAUUUCCCCCCCGGAUUCCCGUGGCUCUGAGCUUGAGGAUUCCUCCCUCUCCCGCUGGAUCUCACUCUGCUGAAGCCUGAACUUAGAAGACCCGGAUUGCACAUUCCUUACAUUGUAAACAAAUAAAAGUUUGUACCCAU